UCUGGUGAUUUUAGCGAGAGGGUCACACCUGUUCCCAUUCCGAACACAGUAGUUAAGCCUCUCAGCGCUGACAAUACUUGGCGGGCGACCGCCCGGGAACAUAAGACAUCGCCAGAA
rnacentral:rRNA from 1 species